rnacentral:sRNA from 1 species
CAGUUCUUAAAUAUUUUUAAAUCUCUCUCUCUCUCUCAAAAUAAGUCACUCAGCCUCUGAAGAAGCUUCGGGUUCAGACUCAGGCAGUCAGUCGGAAAGUGAGCAGGGAAGUGAUCCGGGAAGUGGACAUGGCAGUGAGUCGAACAGCAGCUCUGAAUCUUCUGAGAGUCAGUCGGAAUCUGAGAGCGAAUCAGCAGGUUCCAAAUCCCAGCCAGUCCUCCCAGAAGCCAAAGAGAAGCCAGCCUCUAAGAAGGAACGGAUAGCUGAUGUGAAGAAGAUGUGGGAAGAAUAUCCUGAUGUUUAUGGGGUCAGGCGGUCAAACCGAAGCAGACAAGAACCAUCGCGAUUUAAUAUUAAGGAAGAGGCAAGUAGCGGGUCUGAGAGUGGGAGCCCAAAAAGAAGAGGCCAGAGGCAGCUGAAAAAACAAGAAAAAUGGAAACAGGAACCCUCAGAAGAUGAACAGGAACAAGGCACCAGUGCAGAGAGUGAGCCAGAACAAAAAAAAGUAAAAGCCAGAAGACCUGUCCCCAGAAGAACAGUGCCCAAACCUCGUGUUAAAAAGCAGCCGAAGACUCAGCGUGGAAAGAGAAAAAAGCAAGAUUCUUCUGAUGAGGAUGAUGAUGAUGACGAAGCUCCCAAAAGGCAGACUCGUCGAAGAGCGGCUAAAAAUGUUAGUUACAAAGAAGAUGAUGACUUUGAGACUGACUCAGAUGAUCUCAUUGAAAUGACUGGAGAAGGAGUUGAUGAACAGCAAGAUAAUAGUGAAACUAUUGAAAAGGUCUUAGAUUCAAGACUGGGAAAGAAAGGAGCCACUGGAGCAUCUACUACUGUAUAUGCGAUUGAAGCUAAUGGCGACCCUAGUGGUGACUUUGACACUGAAAAGGAUGAAGGUGAAAUCCAGUACCUCAUCAAGUGGAAGGGUUGGUCUUACAUCCACAGCACAUGGGAGAGUGAAGAAUCCUUACAGCAACAGAAAGUGAAGGGCCUAAAAAAACUAGAGAACUUCAAGAAAAAAGAGGACGAAAUCAAACAAUGGUUAGGGAAAGUUUCUCCUGAAGAUGUAGAAUAUUUCAAUUGCCAACAGGAGCUGGCUUCAGAGUUGAAUAAACAGUAUCAGAUAGUAGAAAGAGUAAUAGCUGUGAAGACAAGUAAAUCUACAUUGGGUCAAACAGAUUUUCCAGCUCAUAGUCGGAAGCCGGCACCCUCAAAUGAGCCCGAAUAUCUAUGUAAAUGGAUGGGACUUCCCUAUUCAGAGUGUAGCUGGGAAGAUGAAGCCCUCAUUGGAAAGAAAUUCCAGAAUUGCAUUGACAGCUUCCACAGUAGGAACAACUCAAAAACCAUCCCAACAAGAGAAUGCAAGGCCCUGAAGCAGAGACCACGAUUUGUAGCUUUAAAGAAACAACCUGCAUAUUUAGGAGGGGAGAAUCUGGAACUUCGAGAUUAUCAGCUAGAAGGUCUAAACUGGCUAGCUCAUUCCUGGUGCAAAAAUAAUAGUGUAAUCCUUGCUGAUGAAAUGGGCCUAGGAAAGACCAUCCAGACCAUAUCAUUCCUCUCCUACCUGUUCCACCAACACCAGCUGUAUGGCCCCUUUCUUAUAGUCGUCCCUUUAUCCACCCUCACCUCAUGGCAGAGAGAGUUUGAAAUCUGGGCACCAGAGAUUAACGUAGUGGUUUACAUAGGUGACCUGAUGAGCAGAAAUACGGUGUGUAAACAAAAAGAGCUGGGAUAGAAUCUGUGUUAUAAAUGUAAUUUAGAAAUUGACUUAAAGCCUUUAGUAGAUCAUCAGUAAAAUUUUUGGUUAUUAUUCUGAUACUGUGCUGUGUUCUCAAUAUUAGGAGGUUUAUCUAUCACAAAAGUGCAACUCAGAUGUUCUUUAACAAAUAUGCUUACUAGUUAAAAAGCAACAGCAGUAUGUGAGUGGGAAUCUCUUUUAGCUGGGUUGCAAUAUUAAAUUUUUCUUCUCUCUGCCCUUUUUACUUCUAAGAUUGCUUUAUAUGAGAUAAUAUGGAGUUAAUACUUUGUGUAAUAUUAAUAUUAUUUUUGCUUUCUCAAUAGACAUAUUACUGAAAAUAAUCAUUCUUCGAAUUUCUUAAUUUCUUAAACAGUGAGGUUGCAUAACUUAUAAAAAAGGAAUAAAAGUAAAGGAAAACAAGCUAUUUUAGGACUGUAGAAAUAAGAAUUAUCCUAAACUGUUACCAAACUUUAUUUGGGCAUCAUGAAUUUAGAACACAGUGACUUAAGUUUAUCUUUGUUUAGCAGAUCUUUUCUUUAUAGUAACUUUUUUUUAAAGCACCUACUGUGUGCUAGAUGUUGCGCUGGGUGCUUUACGUGUAAUACCUGUAGUCUUCAUGAUAGUCUUCAAAGUUGAUGGCAUUCUUUCCUGCUGCUGAUGAAGAAUUGACUCAGAGAGUCUUAACACGCGACCCUAGCAAGCAAGAAUGUGGCAGAGCUCAGAUUCGGACACAGAUACGGGAAUAUGAAUGGAUUCAUUCCCAAACCAAAAGAUUGAAGUUCAACGCACUUAUAACAACAUAUGAGAUCCUCUUGAAAGAUAAGACUGUGCUGGGCAGUAUUAACUGGGCCUUUCUGGGAGUGGAUGAAGCCCAUCGGUUGAAGAAUGAUGACUCUUUAUUGUAUAAAACUCUGAUUGAUUUCAAGUCCAACCAUAGGCUCCUGAUUACGGGGACCCCUCUUCAGAAUUCCCUCAAAGAGCUCUGGUCCUUGCUGCACUUUAUUAUGCCGGAGAAGUUUGAAUUUUGGGAAGAUUUUGAAGAAGACCAUGGGAAAGGGAGAGAGAAUGGCUACCAGAGUCUUCAUAAGGUGCUAGAGCCUUUCCUUCUCCGGAGAGUCAAAAAAGAUGUGGAGAAAUCCCUUCCUGCUAAAGUGGAACAGAUUCUCAGGGUGGAGAUGUCAGCCCUUCAGAAACAGUAUUACAAGUGGAUUCUGACCAGGAAUUACAAGGCUCUUGCCAAAGGAACAAGAGGCAGCACAUCUGGUUUUCUUAAUAUUGUGAUGGAACUGAAAAAAUGUUGCAACCACUGCUAUCUGAUUAAACCCCCUGAAGAAAAUGAAAGGGAAAAUGGACAGGAGAUUCUUCUGUCCCUCAUAAGGAGCAGUGGGAAGUUGAUUUUAUUAGACAAACUGUUGACAAGACUUCGAGAAAGGGGGAAUCGAGUGCUUAUCUUCUCUCAGAUGGUGAGAAUGUUGGAUAUCCUGGCUGAAUACCUAACUAUUAAACACUAUCCUUUCCAGCGUCUGGAUGGUUCCAUCAAGGGAGAAAUCCGAAAACAGGCACUGGACCACUUCAAUGCAGAUGGGUCUGAGGACUUCUGUUUCCUGCUCUCGACAAGGGCUGGUGGCCUGGGAAUCAAUUUGGCUUCAGCGGACACAGUCGUCAUCUUUGACUCUGACUGGAACCCCCAGAAUGACUUGCAGGCACAAGCCCGAGCGCAUAGAAUUGGUCAGAAGAAGCAGGUAAAUAUUUACCGCUUAGUUACAAAGGGGACUGUGGAGGAGGAGAUCAUAGAACGGGCCAAAAAGAAGAUGGUAUUAGAUCAUCUGGUGAUUCAGCGCAUGGACACCACUGGCCGGACGAUCCUGGAAAACAACUCGGGAAGGUCCAACUCAAAUCCUUUUAAUAAAGAAGAGCUGACAGCUAUUUUGAAAUUUGGAGCAGAGGAUCUCUUCAAAGAACUGGAAGGGGAGGAAUCAGAACCUCAGGAAAUGGAUAUAGAUGAAAUUUUGCGGUUGGCUGAAACGAGAGAGAAUGAAGUGUCAACAAGUGCAACAGAUGAACUUCUAUCACAGUUUAAGGUUGCCAACUUUGCAACAAUGGAAGAUGAAGAAGAGCUGGAAGAGCGUCCUCACAAGGACUGGGAUGAGAUCAUUCCAGAGGAACAAAGGAAAAAAGUAGAGGAGGAAGAGCGGCAGAAGGAGCUAGAAGAAAUUUAUAUGCUGCCUCGAAUUCGGAGUUCCACUAAAAAGGCUCAGACAAAUGACAGUGACUCUGACACUGAGUCUAAGAGGCAGGCCCAGAGAUCCUCUGCUUCUGAGAGUGAAACGGAAGACUCUGAUGAUGACAAGAAGCCAAAGCGCAGAGGGCGUCCGAGGAGUGUGCGGAAGGACCUCGUGGAGGGAUUUACUGAUGCAGAGAUCCGAAGGUUCAUCAAGGCUUAUAAGAAGUUUGGUCUCCCUCUUGAACGGCUGGAGUGCAUAGCACGUGAUGCUGAGCUGGUAGAUAAGUCGGUGGCAGAUCUGAAGCGCCUGGGUGAACUGAUCCACAACAGCUGUGUGUCAGCAAUGCAGGAAUACGAAGAGCAGCUGAAAGAAAAUGCCAGCGAGGGAAAAGGACCAGGGAAAAGGAGAGGUCCAACAAUCAAGAUAUCCGGAGUUCAGGUUAAUGUGAAAUCCAUUAUCCAACAUGAAGAGGAGUUUGAGAUGCUGCAUAAAUCUAUC